AUUGAACGCAGGCGGAAUGCUUUACACAUGCAAGUCGAACGGUACCUUUGGCAACCCCUCGAGAGUGGUUAACGGGUGAGUAAUAUAUCGGAACGUGCCCAGUCGAGGGGGAUAACGGUUGGAAAGUUACGCUAAUACCGCAUACGAUCUAAGGAUGAAAGCGGGGGAUCGCAAGACCUCGCGCGAUUGGAGCGGCCGAUAUCAGAUUAGGUAGGUGGUGGGGUAAAGGCUCACCAAGCCAACGAUCUGUAGCUGGUCUGAGAGGACGACCAGACACGCUGGGACGGAGACACAGUCCAGACUGCUACGGGAGGCAGCAGUGGGGAAUUUUGGAAGAUGGGCGGCAGCCUGAUCCAGCCAUGCCGCGUGUGUGAAGAAGGCCUUAUGGUUGUAAAGCACUUUAAGCGAGGAGUAGGAUGCUUUAGUUAAUACCUAGAGAUAGUCGACGCUACUCGCAGAAUAAGCACCGGCUAACUCUGUGCCAGCCGCCGCAGUAA
rnacentral:rRNA from 1 species